GGACAGCAUUUAAAAAUGAAUGCUAAUACCUGAUAUUAUGAUUUUAAGGCAUCUUACAAUUAUGAAAGCUAUAGGCACUGCGACAGAGCUUUGCGUCCCAUUAGCUACUUGUAAACGUAGCAGCUCACCAAAGCCAUGAUGGGAAGCCGGCCUGACACGUUGAACCGCCACCACGGGACUGACACCCACCCCUUACUCCUACGGGAAGCAUCACUGGGGAAUAUUGGACCAUGUACCGAGACUCUGAUCCAGCAAUUCUGGGCGCACGAUCAAAUUUUUCUGAAUGCAAAGAGCUUUCUGAUGGGACUAAAUAAAUGACCCCACCAUCACAACAAGUGACCGCUAAAUACAUGCCAUCAGCCGCUAUAAUACUCAUGUCACAAUCGUUAUCCGGAUUUAUUGGGCGUACAGCCCGUCUAGGUGGGUAUGUAUACCUGAUGUCAAAAUGCAGGUCUCAACUCUGUAUUGCUUUAGAAACUGAAUAACUAGAGUACUGCAUAGGUAAGCGGAACUACGCGUGUAUAUGAGAAAUUCCUACAUAUUUGUAGGAAUGUCUAUGGACAAUCCCUCUUACUGAACAGAUACUGACGCUAAAG
rnacentral:rRNA from 1 species